UAUUUUUGCAAGGUCAAAUAGUACCA
rnacentral:piRNA from 1 species